GCCAAACAACACGUAUGUAAAUAGGGUAUGGGAGCAAAUUACUUUUUAAUAUAUGCUUUUUUAGGAAAAAAUUAAAUUAAGCCAAUGAAGGUUGGCUUAAUGGUGAGUGUUAAUACUACCAGGUGCAGAAUUUCAUUUUGUAACGGGAUAUUAGACACAAUCACAGAAGCAUAUUUUGAUCGCAUUAGCUGGAAUAGUACGAGUCUACUAAAGCCUGUAUAUUGAAGACUUUGUUAUUAGAAUUAUGUACGAUUUAGAAACACCACUUACUUGUCCAUUAGAGAAACCACUGUUAUGCAACAAAUUAUUUCCAUUUUCAAGGGAAAAAAUCUUAGUUGGAGAGUGAUCUUAAUUGAAUGUAUAGGUGUGAGGUUGCAACUUGAUAAGUAACUUGAACUUAGAUCACAACUUGCAUUGUUGAUUCAUAAUGGAUUACUCCCUCGAUAAGGCCCACACAGAUAAGGUUCGAGUCAUCUACCUGCGACUUGACUGGGCCCUACCAUAUGGAUGCAUGCAAGUCUUAUAGUGGGAGGUCAACAAAGGGAGUUUGCGGUCUCAGUUCGCAUAUGUCAAAGGGUGCUCGUAAGGGGAGUUCGCGGUUCCAGUUCGCAUACACCCAAAGAUUUCACAUGUGGGGGGCCACGAAGUCCAACAGAUAGACCUGAACAAUACACGUGUCUCGCAUGCAUAGAGUCUACUAAGAACAUCAAUUCCAUGAACAAUAACCAUGUAUAUAAAUAUUCGAUUGUUCCCUUCAAUAAGACACAAUGGAAAAUUUCUCAACAAUACUCUAAGUCUUACAUUUGAAAUUUAAUCAUUCUACUUUCGGAUUUAAAAA